ACAUUGGUCAGUUUAGUAUUUAUAUGUAAUAUUAAUACUUACAUCUAGCACAAAGGUGAUGGCAUGCUUAUGGAUUCUUGUGAGCUUUCUUUCUCACUGUCUGUAUUACUUUCAAGAGAUCGGGCUGCAUUUUAAAGGUAAAGUAAGCUAGAAUUUCCUUAAUGAGGUUGUUUUCAUGAAUUUAUGGAGGUGAAAAUAAAUUUCCUCAGUCUUUUGGAAUUUUAAUUUCCUCAGUGAUACAAUAAUUCCUGUGGUGUAUCUAGGACUUUGGAUUGUUUGUGAUGCUGCUUCUGGUGCCAUUGCUCUGCUGAGGUUUACCUUGUGGGAUUAACAGUCAUGAACUGUUGUUUAUUAUGUUUUAUUUUGCAUGCAUAAUUGACUGUGGGACAGGAAACAACUGUGUCUAAGUAUCAUCAAAGGGAAGAGAGUAUAAUUGCAUGUCCAGUUUGUUCUCUUUCUCAAAAAGGAAGAAAAAAAAGAGAGCUGCACCUGUGACAAACUGGUAGCUUUGUAAAUAGAAUAAUUUUUGAAAGAGAUAACGUCUACUGGAAAUUGUGCUUUAAGUUCUAUCUCACUGUCCCCCAAGCUUUCUAAUCACAUAGUUAGUUUGUAAGUCUAGAUGUAUGUUUUGUGAGAGGCCAGCUACUGCCAAACAGUAUAUAUGGAAACUGACUUGUACCUCUCUUUUCCUUUAUCCGAAAGCACAAAUUUUUGUAUUUGUCUCUGUUUCCUGCCUGUGAGUAGCACAGGUUUAUCUUCAACUAACUUUGAUAAGGGGAUGGAUGCUGCCUAAUGAAUUAAAACAAUAAUUGAGGGGAAGGAGUAUAAAGAACAGCUUCUCAGUUUACGUAGAAGCAGAAGAUCUGCUUUUCACUAAUCACUUUGUCAGUUUGUCCUGUUGACUUUUGAAAAGCUGUAUUUCAGAAAACUCAGCAGAAGUUCUGCUGUUGAAACUGGAAAAUGUACCACACACAUGGUGGGAAGAGGGUAGAAGCCUGAAGUAACCUCAUAUUAAAGAUGAUGAGCCUUUCACUUUCUGAAUGGAGGUCUUCAGUUUCUUUUGUAGUGAAAAUAUGCAACUGCAGCCAAACAACAUGAAUAUGUAUGAAAACUUCAUAGUAGUUAUGUGUUUGUAAUUGCAGUUCAGCGGUGAAGAAGGAAUGCGUUGUAGUAAACUUUGUGAAGAUGACUUCUUCCCCUUCCCACUCUGGUUAUGACUGACCUCAAUUUCCACAUUGUUGCAGCAAAUUUAAUUUGGAACUUUCCAUCAGAACAAACCUUUCUGUCACAACCUCUGUUGCUGUCUUAGGAUGGCUUUUAUAGAAGGAAGGAAAAUUGCUCAUAAAAGCUAUUCUAAAAACAUUACAUAGUAAAUAUUGAUCCAAGACAAGCUUUCUAAUACAAACAGUAUUGUAUAAAAAAAAAAUGCUUUCAGAAGUCUUUUGUGUCUGGAACUUAAAAGGAGGAACUAAUCCUGAUUCAAAUUUUCUUACAGCUUUUUCUUUGUAAUGAGGUAAAGAAAGACAAGAUUUAAAAAGUUGUCCUAGUUCAUCUUAGGCAUAUACAUGUCUUUAUAUUAUGAGUUUAUUUGGAGCAAUGACAUGCAGCUUUUUGCAUGUCUUUUUCAUAAUACCAUCAAACAUGAAAUGUCUUAAAUAAGAAGUGAAUAGAUUUUCUGGGAGUUUCAGCUACAGUAACAAAGUUCUCAUGUGAUAAAACCUUUGCUGCCCACCUAAUGUGUUUUUUGUUAGUAGUCUGAGGUUUCUACUCUUCGGCAGAAGCUGUAGUGCAGAAAGAUGCUAUGACGUCCUUUGUGCCCAUGCCACAACUGACUUCCAUCCCUGUACUCACCAUAUGUUGACCUCAUGCCAGCUCUUACAUGUUCCUAAGUAUAAGAAUAAAUGCAGCUGGCUGAGGAUAAAGUAAGAAUAAUCUGUGCUCUGUACAUUUUUUUCUGUCCAAGAAGUGAAAAGGGGGGAGAGGAAAGUAGAAAUACUAGUGUAGCUAAGCAGGGACGAAGAAGUAAGCUCUUUGCUACUCCACUGUUGUUGCCUAGUAUGUCAGAUACCUUUAGUAAGUGUAUGUGCUGCUGUGGGGUCAGAAAUCUAAUUGAUGAUCGCUUAAGCGGCCCAUAUAGAUGCUUCUGUGUCAGUAUGUAGGAUGUGAAAAUAUGUUAUUUUUCUUCUAUCGUUGCGGAACAGAGGAAACCAUUUAUUCUGCCAUUGUAAGAUGCAUGUUUAAUAUCUCUCUUAUUCUGGUUUUGAAACUGUAGGAUGUUUUGGAUCUACUUUAACAAAUUUUACCACAGACCUCAACAGUGAAGGAAUGACAACAAUUGAAAGAAACCAUUUCCUUGUAGAGUGCCUAACACUUCUUACUCAAUGUUUUUGGCAAUGUGUCUAUUUUUAAACAAAUGGAUGCGGUAAAACCAUGAAAAAUGUUGAGAAGGUUACUUUUUUUUUGUGCAGGCUAUUUGAAACUAGUAGUGGGCUGAUUAUCCAAAUCCUGAUUUAAAAAAAAAUAAAUCACAAAGUAAUUGUGGCAGUGUAAAUUUUUUUAAAAUCAACUUCAGCCUUUAGCACUGUGCACAUCCACUGCAGUAGCUGUAGUGCUAAUGCAUAGAGCUUGGGGAUCAAUCCCAGUGAAGAUUUUCGGUUUCAACUUUCUAACCAAGAAACUACUUGGCGCUUGUCUUAAAGAUGUUAAAAAUCCAAACCAUGCUCCUGAACUGCACCAAACAAGGGGUGUAGUAGAUGCAGUAGACCUGCCCAGCAGUGAUGGACAUAGAGACUUAGCAGAAUUUUUGUGUUUCUUGACUAAGUAUGUUUGUUCCUGAAAGAGACAUAAUUAUUUUUCAUGUUAUAGAGAGACGAUUCUACUGUUGAAGAACAAUAAAUCUAAUGGUAUACAUAACAGUUCGAAAACAUAUAUGACAUUUUAGGUAAAUUGUAGGAUACGCUUUUGUUUAGCCUUUGGAACAACAAGUAGCUACUAUCCCAUAUUUGAAUGCUGCAACUUAGGCUUUUUGUAAGCAUGCUCAGCAGUAUAGUUCAGCUUUGGAUUGCUCAGAUUUUUUAUGGAGGUGAGAUGCAUUCAGGCAAAUAAGAGGCAUAUGUUUUUCUUCCUGUUCUGCAGUGGAGCAUAUACGUGGUUAAUGUUUGAUAUGAUAGAACUUUAGUAAUCAGACACUUGUAGGAAAAAAAAUUAGCUAGUCCUUGAUGUUAAAACACUGUACGCAAAAAAGCAAAGCAGAUUUUGGUAUCUUCAGUUUUGAGAGCUUUGAGUUUCUUUUAUGUCCAUCUUCAUAUUCUUGUUGCAGCUUGUAUUGCAAAUCAACUUUUCCCCUGACCUUGUUUGAAUGCUGGUUUUAUUAGGGUGGGAUAUCAUCCAUGUUAAAAUUACUCUUACCUCUCCCAUUCAUACAGACUUCUUAUUGUUUCUUAAGACUCUUAUAAAUAUGAGGCAAAGUAAGCCAUACAGUGUGCAAUUUCAGAAAGGAGAGUUUCUAGCUCGACGAAUUGUGCAGCUUUCUUAUCAAAAAGACAAAGACAGUACGAGUAAAUUAACCAUGCAGUUUCACUGAUCAGCAAAAGUGGCCACAACUGAUUGUGGGAGAGAGUCUUUUUCUUUUGUAUGGAUAAUUUUUCUCCUUCUGUUCAAGUACUCUCUAGAAAUCUCUUUGGUACAGAUUUUUAAGGCAUGAGUGGCGAAAGAGAUAAAAGACAAUAUUUAUUUCCACUAAAAGAGCUCUUCUGAUUAUUACCUACUCUAGGUAUAGUUCCAGAAAUUUCCAUUAUUUCCCUGUUACUCUGAAGAACUUACUUAAUUUCAGCAUCCAGGAAUUGGGAUGAUAGAAAUCAUUCCUUAUUAAAUGGGGGGAAAGGAUGGGAAAAACUCCAAGCUACAACCUUCUGAGAAAAAUCAGAGGAAACAACAUCUCGAGUUUUUAUUGACACAUCAAACAUAAAAGCUGUGUUUGUUGAAUAAAUAUAUAGAUGAUGCAUCAUCCAUGUAUUAAAAAAAUCCUAGUAAGAGAAGCUUAGUAUUGUAAUCUUCAGUUUGCUUUUUAAGAUUUUAGGGAAAAAGCUGCAUUUGCUAGCUGUUUUGCACCAAAAAGUCAGUGUUGAGAGACUAUUGACUAGAUAUCAGGACAAAUAGAGAACUCAAGUGAGCCUGCAUUUUCAACAUUGCCAAUGCAAGGCAUCAUAUAAACAUGAAUUUUAAUUGUACUAAAGAAAAAUAGUUGCAUUAAAGUCAAGAGCUUAUGUGGAGGAGAGUACUAACGAAACAAUAUCUAGAUUCUAAAGUUCAACUGCGUUUUGUCUAAAUACCUCUUGCUUAGUUAUUCAGUGUAGUUUUGCCAGUAAUAACAUCAAAUUUAACAGAUUUGCAAGUUUUGUAUUUUUCUUACAAUUCUAAUUAAGCAUUUGCAGAAGAGACAUGCUAUUUUCUAUUCAUUUUUAUAAGAUUAUGUUUAGCAGGAAUAAAAAACAAAUUGUUUCAGAAUAAGUUGGAAAACAGUUAUGUGGAUGUUUUAAUUUUUAGCAAUUGCUUUUACCUUCAGCUGGAGUGGUCUUGCAUGUUUUAUUUCCUAUUAUUUUUUCCAGUUUCAUACUCCAAAAAUUUGAACUUAAGCUGGGAAAAUGAGAACGGCACUACUUAAUGGAAACCUUACAUAUCUGAGCUUUGAGAAGAUAUCUUUGCACCAACAUGGAGAGAAUCUAAAA